rnacentral:rRNA from 1 species
UCUGAAUCUGCGAACGGCUCCGCAAACCAGUUGUAAACCAGAGCAAGCAUGCCUCGGUGCCGGCCGCAAGGCUGGUGCUGGGGUAAUACGGAUAACCAUGGUAAUUCUGAGGCUAAUACGAGAUCAUGAACCCUAGUAAGCCGGGCAACUGGUGAGCUGGGGGACGUGUGAUAAUAUCCGCAAGCUUUGCCAGGACUGGGUGCACGUCUAGACCGCCGUAAAAAACGGCUGGGGGUCCUACGUACUUCGGUGCGCAAGUCCUCGGCCGGGUGGCUCUUGCUGUGUGCUUCUGACCUAUCAACUAGAUGGCAGCGUAAAGGACAUGCUAUGGU